rnacentral:antisense_RNA from 1 species
GGGAGCUUAGAUGUGGAAGCUCUUUGGAAACCAAGAAACACUCUGCAAAUGAAAAGGGUGGAAGAGUAAACUGUUCCUGUUUCUCCAUCUUGACAGGAAGCAGAAGUUCUCCUUAGCUGAUUUUUCUUCUUGCCUUAUACUGGGUUCUUUAACACCAGAACAAAAAUAAAUAAAUAAAAGAAUCUUCCAGAAAUUCAUGAAGAGACUUCAGGUCAGGAAAGCCUGAACUUUCUCAUCCAACACCUGUUCAAGUCGGAGGAUGCUGAUUAAUUCAUGAUGGAAAGGUAUCAAUUUCACAGCCCAGACCUCUACAUUCUUGAAAUGCUCUUCUCAUGGGAGACAUUAAAUAAGCUUUGAAUUAACUCUCUUCUUGGACUAAAAGGCCCUCAGCAUUCCUGUCAAUUUCUACACUCCUGAAGCUUCAUCUGGAGACCUCUGUGGAUUCUAUAACUCAAAGACCCAGGCUGACGGCUGGUGGAAUAGCUACCAUCUCAAACAUGGCGUGAUGCUGCAUCAGAGAGAAAAAUAAGCUCUUGCAUUGACAAUGAAAUGUCUACCCUGUAGUGACUUGUGCUUACUUCCACUCACAAGUGAUUGCCCAGAGCUACUUACCUGGCUCC